AGUGAACGCUGGCGGUAGGCCUAACACAUGCAAGUCGAACGGCAGCACAGUAAGAGCUUGCUCUUACGGGUGGCGAGUGGCGGACGGGUGAGGAAUACAUCGGAAUCUACUUUUUCUUGGGGGAUAACGUAGGGAAACUUACGCUAAUACCUCAUACGACCUACGGGUGAAAGCAGGAGAUCUUCGGACCUUGCGCGAUUGAAUGAGCCGAUGUCGGAUUAGCUAGUUGGCGGGGUAAAGGCCCACCAAGGCGACGAUCCGUAGCUGGUCUGAGAGGAUGAUCAGCCACACUGGAACUGAGACACGGUCCAGACUCCUACGGGAGGCAGCAGUAGGGAAUAUUGGACAAUGGGCGCAAGCCUGAUCCAGCCAUACCGCGUGGGUGAAGAAGGCCUUCGGGUUGUAAAGCCCUUUUGUUGGGAAAGAAAAGCAGCAGGUUAAUACCCCGCUGUUCUGACGGUACCCAAAGAAUAAGCACCGGCUAACUUCGUG
rnacentral:rRNA from 1 species